UGCAGUCGAGCGGAACGAUCCUAGCUUGCUAGGAGGCGUCGAGCGGCGGACGGGUGAGUAAUGCAUAGGAAUCUGCCCGGUAGUGGGGGAUAACUUGAGGAAACUCAAGCUAAUACCGCAUACGCCCCAAGGGGGAAAGCAGGGGAUCUUCGGACCUUGCGCUAUCGGAUGAGCCUAUGUCGGAUUAGCUAGUUGGUGAGGUAAUGGCUCACCAAGGCCGCGAUCCGUAGCUGGUCUGAGAGGAUGAUCAGCCACAUCGGGACUGAGACACGGCCCGAACUCCUACGGGAGGCAGCAGUGGGGAAUAUUGGACAAUGGGCGAAAGCCUGAUCCAGCCAUGCCGCGUGUGUGAAGAAGGCCUUCGGGUUGUAAAGCACUUUCAGCGAGGAAGAACGCUUGUGGGUUAAUACCCUGCAAGAAGGACAUCACUCGCAAAAGAAGCACCGGCUAACUCCGUGCCAGCAGCCGCGGUAAUACGGAGGGUGCAAGCGUUAAUCGGAAUUACUGGGCGUAAAGCGCGCGUAGGCGGCUUGAUAAGCCGGUUGUGAAAGCCCCGGGCUCAACCUGGGAACGGCAUCCGGAACUGUCAGGCUAGAGUGCAGGAGAGGAAGGUAGAAUUCCCGGUGUAGCGGUGAAAUGCGUAGAGAUCGGGAGGAAUACCAGUGGCGAAAGCGGCCUUCUGGACUGACACUGACGCUUAGGUGCGAAAGCGUGGGUAGCAAACAGGAUUAGAUACCCUGGUAGUCCACGCCGUAAACAAUAUCAACUAGCCGUUGGGGUCCUCGAGACCUUUGUGGCGCAGUUAACGCGAUAAGUCGACCGCCUGGGGAGUACGGCCGCAAGGUUAAAACUCAAAUGAAUUGACGGGGGCCCGCACAAGCGGUGGAGCAUGUGGUUUAAUUCGAUGCACCGCGAAAAACCUUACCUACUCUUGACAUCCAGCGAACCUUCCAAAGAUGGAAGGGUGCCUUCCGGAACGCUAAAACGGGUUCUGCAUGGCCCUCUUC
rnacentral:rRNA from 1 species